UCCAGUUUUUCAAAAUAAGGAGUAACAAAAUGUACUAUUUGACAUCCACACAAAGGAAUACUCCGUGUAUCAUUUGCCUUCCGUUUAUUGUGAAUCUGUACAACAAAAAGAACAAAAUCAUAAAUCGGUUUCUGGAAUCGGACUUUGGAGGACCCAUGUUUGUGUUUUUCUUGCACUGGAGUUGAAAAUUUUGGCGGCGGUUAAAACAAGAGCACAUUGGUAUCACUCCAUGAGAGAGAGGGCAAAUGAGCAAAUCCGACGAAUAGAGCUUCAUCAUAUCAACGGUUUCUCUAUCAAAUCUCAGAAAUAAGAAAGUUUGAUACAUACCUCCCAUCUCGAUGGAUUAAAGUCAAGGGGAUUUUCAUAUUUAGCAGGGUUUAAGUGUACAGCUGGAGGACAGACCAUGACACCCCAACCAGCUGGAAUGGUGUAACCUACAUCAAUCAAAAUUCUAUGUUAAGUUUGGUAUUAUGUCGAUCACAUCAACAACGAUACAAGGAAGAGCCUGCAUAUAAGGUGAUAGGUAAGAGCAUAAGGCAUCGAGGGAUACAAUAUAUUUCAUUGUAAUGGUUGAUAAUGAGGUGCAAAGGUCUCAUCUUCAUCAAUCUCUUGAAAAUUUAUUUGUAAGGCAAAGGCCUUUCUGAAUUCUGAUAUUCCUCAGAUUUCGCUGCUAAGGAAAACUAGAUUGAUACCUUUGUUUGAGAUAUUAGGCAUUUGCUGCUGUCAUAGCUUUUGAAUUUGAAUUUGAUCGAGCAGCUGAGUGGAUUAGCAGUGUUGGUUAUCUUGUCGAUUCUUAUAUGUUUUUGUUUUUUGUUUUUUUGGUUUUAAAAGACGCGUUAUCAUUGUUGUUCUCGUGCAUCUUGCUUAAGACUGGGGUACUAUAUGUUAGACAUAUAUAUAUAGUAGCUUGAUACAUA